UACGGAGGGGGCUAGCGUUGUUCGGAAUUACUGGGCGUAAAGCGCACGUAGGCGGCUUUGUAAGUUAGAGGUGAAAGCCCGGGGCUCAACCCCGGAAUUGCCUUAAGACUGCAUCGCUUGAACACGGGAGAGGUGAGUGGAAUUCCGAGUGUAGAGGUGAAAUUCGUAGAUAUUCGGAAGAACACCAGUGGCGAAGGCGGCUCACUGGACCGUUGUUGACGCUGAGGUGCGAAAGCGUGGGGAGCAAACAGG
rnacentral:rRNA from 1 species